rnacentral:tRNA from 1 species
GGAGUUGUUAAGCAUUUGGCUGUUAACCGAAAGGCUGGUGGUUCAAACCCACCCAGCGCCU